GUGGGGAAUAUUGGACAAUGGGCGAAAGCCUGAUCCAGCAAUGCCGCGUGAAGGAUGAAGGCCUUCGGGUUGUAAACUUCUUUUGGAGGGGACGAAUAAAUUGACGGUACCCUCAGAAAAAGCCACGGCUAACUACGUGCCAGCAGCCGCGGUAAUACGUAGGUGGCGAGCGUUACUCGGAAUUACUAGGCGUAAAGCGUAUGUAGGCGGUUGUAUAAGUCUAUGGUGAAAUUUCCUGGCUCAACUGGGAAGGGACAUAGAUACUGUAUGGCUUGAGUGUUGGAGGGGGAGACGGAAUUCCUGGUGUAGCGGUGAAAUGCGUAGAUAUCAGGAGGAACACCGAUGGCGAAAGCAGUCUCCUGGCCAAAUACUGACGCUGAGGUACGAAAGCUAGGGUAGCAAACAGGAUUAGAAACCCCAGUAGUCC
rnacentral:rRNA from 1 species